rnacentral:rRNA from 1 species
ACAGAGGGGGCAAGCGUUGUUCGGAAUUACUGGGCGUAAAGGGCGCGUAGGCGGCCUGCUAAGUCGAACGUGAAAUCCCUGGGCUCAACCCAGGAACUGCGUCCGAUACUGGUUGGCUUGAAUCCGGGAGAGGGACGGGGAAUUCCAGGUGUAGCGGUGAAAUGCGUAGAUAUCGGGAGGAACACCAGUGGCGAAGGCGCCGCUCUGGGCCGUGACUGACGCUGAAGAGCGAAAGCGUGGGUAGCAAACAGGA